rnacentral:lncRNA from 1 species
AAGAUUGUGCAUGCCUGGCGCCACGUCCAUAAGAAAAGAAGAGAAGUUCUAGGAAAGCUAGAUUGCGUCUCUUUGGAACCUUAUAUCCAAUGGGUGCAAGCUAGGGUCGUCAGUUUGAAAAUGCAUUCUCCUCGACAAGAGUCUUUGUCUUUAAUUAUUAAAUAACCUUCCCUCAUUUUCAUGACUGAUGCGGAGAAACUCAAGAUUGCUUUGACUAGGGUGCAAAGAGA